CCUCAAUGAAGACAGUUUAUUUUAAAAAGUACUAAUGGGAUUUGAAAGUUGUAUACCAACCCUGAAUGUAUGCAAGAUGUGGAACAUUUUAAAGUUUGAAAGGAGUUUCUCUGUGACCGUAUGAAUGAGUAGCUAGCAGCUGAAAACGUAUGAAAAUGUGUCAACGUUGAACAUUCAGUCCAUCCGCUUUAAUGGGGCAAAAAUGCCCACUAAACGUUGAAUAUUUCGCAAAUUAUGAAUGUUGUGAAUAAUUAAUAUUGUAAAUAGUAGCACAUGAUUCUGAAUCAAGCUGAACGUUUUGAUGUUUGAAUGUAGUUCAUAUGUUGAAAAAUGUGAAAGGAGUUUAUGUGCAAAAUAAGUGGGCGGAAGAACAAGAAU